rnacentral:rRNA from 1 species
UACGUAGGCAGCGAGCGUUGUUCGGAGUUACUGGGCGUAAAGGGUGCGCAGGCGGUGGAGCAAGUCUGUUGUGAAAUCUCCCGGCUUAACCGGGAGGGUGCGGCGGAAACUGUUCUGCUGGAGUGAGGGAGAGGCAAGCGGAAUUCCUGGUGUAGUGGUGGAAUGCGUAGAUAUCAGGAGGAACACCAGUGGCGAAGGCGGCUCUCUGGACCGGUGCUGACGCUCAGGCGCGAAAGCGUGGGGAGCGAUCCGG